CAGCAGCCGCGGUAAUACGUAGGGGGCGAGCGUUGUCCGGAAUUACUGGGCGUAAAGGGCGUGUAGGCGGUAGAGCAAGUCAGGUGUGAAACCCCCGGGCUCAACUCGGGGCAUGCAUCUGAAACUGCGAUACUUGAGUGCAGGAGAGGGAAGCGGAAUUUCUGGUGUAGCGGUGGAAUGCGUAGAUAUCAGGAAGAACACCGGUGGCGAAGGCGGCUUUCUGGCCUGCAACUGACGCUGAGGCGCGAAAGCGUGGGGAGCGAACAGGAUUAGAUACCCUGGUAGUCCACGCUGUAAACGAUGGAUACUAGGUGUAGGUGGUAUCAAAGCUAUCUGUGCCGAAGUAAACACAUUAAGUAUCCCGCCUGGGGAGUACGGCCGCAAGGUUGAAACUUAAAGGAAUUGGCGGG
rnacentral:rRNA from 1 species